rnacentral:rRNA from 1 species
CCUACGGGUGGCAGCAGUGGGGAAUAUUGGGCAAUGGGCGCAAGCCUGACCCAGCAACGCCGCGUGAAGGAAGAAGGCUUUCGGGUUGUAAACUUCUUUUAAGAGGGAAGAGCAGAAGACGGUACCUCUUGAAUAAGCUACGGCUAACUACGUGCCAGCAGCUGCGGUAAUACGUAGGUGGCAGGCGUUAUCCGGAUUUACUGGGUUUAAAGGGCGUGCAGCCGGGAAGACAAGUCAGAUGUGAAAUCCCGCUGCUCAACCGCGGAACUGCAUUUGAAACUGUUUUUCUUGAGUACCGGAGAGGUCAUCGGAAUUCCUGGUGUAGCGGUGAAAUGCGGAGAUAUAAGGGAGAACACCGAUGGCGAAGGCAGAUGACUGGACGGCAACUGACGGUGAGGCGCGAAAGCGUGGGGAGCAAACAGGAUUAGAUACCCUGGUAGUC